rnacentral:rRNA from 1 species
AUACGGAGGGGGCAAGCGUUGCUCGGAAUUACUGGGCGUAAAGCGCGCGUAGGCGGCUACGUCAGUCGGAUGUGAAAGCCCCGGGCUUAACCUGGGAACUGCAUUCGAUACUGACAGGCUAGAGUAUAGUAGAGGCAAGUGGAAUUCCGGGUGUAGCGGUGAAAUGCGUAGAUAUCCGGAGGAACAUCAGUGGCGAAGGCGACUUGCUGGACUAAUACUGACGCUAAGGAGCGAAAGCGUGGGGAGCAAACGGGAUUAGAUACCCCAGUAGUCC